rnacentral:rRNA from 1 species
AGAUGGUGAACUAUGCCUGUAUAGGACGAAGUCAGAGGAAACUCUGAUGGAGGUCCGUAGCGGUUUUGACGUGCAAAUCGAUCGUCAAAUAUGGGUAUAGGGGCGAAAGACUAAUCGAACCAUCUAGUAGCUGGUUCCCUCCGAAGUUUCCCCCAGGAUAGCUGGUGCUUGUAUUUGAAUAGUCUUAUUCGGUAAAGAUAAUGAUUAGAGGACUUGGGGACGAAAUGUCCUCAACCUAUUCUCAAACUUUAAAUGGGUAAGAUGUCCGGCUUGCUUGCUUUGAAGCCUGGACAUUGGAUAUAAGUGCCAAGUGGGCCAUUUUUGGUAAGCAGAACUGGCGCUGUGGGAUGAACCAAACGUUGGGUUAAAGUGCCUAAGUUCUCGCUCAUUAGACCCCAUGAAAGGUGUUAAUUGAUACAGACAGCAGGAAUGUGACCAUGGAAGUCGGGAUCGUCUAAGGAGUGUGUAACAACUCACCUGCCGAAUCAAUUAGCCCUGAAAAUGGAUGGCGCUAGAGCGAGACACUUAUACCCAACCGUUGUUGUUGAAGUGCUGCGGCCUUGUGCUGCGCGCCAGACAACAACGAGUAGGAGGGUCGCGUUGGUUGCGUGGAAAGUCUGUGCGUGAGCACGACUGGAGCUUCCAACGGUGCAGAUCGCGAUGGUAGUAG